rnacentral:lncRNA from 1 species
UGCUUAAGAUAUUCAAUCAUUAAAUUUUAGAAGAAAACUUUUGUUUUAUUUUGGCUUUUGUUUUAUUUGUUAGUUUAGAACCAUUUUACUUGGUUGCCUUUCGACUGAUCGAUUAGCUAUCAUUUUGCUUUUGUCCCAGUCCUUUAAUGCAUUGUGAUAUUUCCAAUAUUACCUGAUUUCCCUGAUUUCUUUAUGCUCCUGUUCAUUUUCUUCCUCUUCUUGAGCAAAGUGUGAAAAUAUUGCCUUGGAACAAGCGGAAGCUUCCAUAACAAUUCUGCAUAGUGUGGGAUUGCAUGCUUUUUGCAUUAUUUCCAUACUCUUUUUUUCGGCAGUGAUGACUUUGAGGGUAAAAGAAAAAAGAGGCGAGGCCGGUCUACAUACUCAACUCAUUUGCUCUUAGGCCAAAAAUGAAUUAGAAGGAAUAUACUCCAUUCCAGGUUUUCUUAUUGCUGCUAUUCUAUAACUUAUUUUCCUACUCUCGACUUAUACUGUCUUGAUAUUUUUUCCCUUUCCCUUUCAAUCCACAAAAAUUUAUUUAGAUUUAUGUUUGUAAUACCCUUUUUUCUUUAAUUAAUACUAUUUUCUUGAAUGUAUUUUUCUGGGGCAAUGAUGAUAGAUGAAAGAAAAGGAAUAGCUUUGGAAGGGAUAAUCCCUACGCAACUGGCUUCAAAUGUCCUCUAGGUCCAUAAGGAGGCCUAGUUUCCUCCUCUCGACUCAUGAUCUGCUAAUAUUUUUCAAGACAUUUUCCUUUCAGACUGCACAUAUUUAUUUAGAUUUAUAACUGUAGUUUUUUUUUUGUAAUUACUGUGUAAGCUGUUUUUCCAUUAAAUUUUCCUCUAGUUGAUAAUUGGGUCUGCUUUUAGUGAGGCGCUGUACUAAUUCGUUUUACGUUAUGCUUUGUUUGAUGUCAAUAUUCCUGCUAUGAAGUUAACUUUGUAAAUAAAACUUUAAAUAAAUCAUAAUGAUCUAGAAGCUAGAAAGAUAGGGGAAUAUAUUUGUUUUCGCUAUCCGGUUCCCUGAUACUCUAUAAAUAUACCUACAUCUAUGCAAAGAGAGCUCAAGCCGCUCAUCCCCUCUCUCUUUUGUUUGCUGUGAUGACCUUUCCUGUGAAUGGCAAAAGGUUGCCACCUGUUAUAAUGACCGUUCCCUUGAAUGUCGGAUUCUUUCCAAUAAUUAGAAGGCGUGCUUCUCUUCCUAACUAAUGACGAGCAAACUUCGGAUGGCCUGUCUACGGGCAACCAGUUGCUCGCAUUGAUACUGUGAUGUAUAUUUUGGGCUCGCAUUGAUCUGAGGACUUCAGAGUAAAUCUAAUGAUGCUCAAUUCAUAGGAAAGUCUGAGCAAAAUAUAUUUUUGUCUUGACACUUUGGUAAAUGAUACGAAUAAUACUGAAUAAUUGGUAGAUGUUAUCCCAAACAUGCUAUUUAUUUGACUAUUGUGAUAUUUUCGAAUUUAUGCAUAUACAUAUUCCUCAGUUCCCAUGUUACUUAUUUCUCAACUUUUCUCUUUAGUUCUAUUGCUAUUCCCUACAAUCUCUAAAGGUAAGACGAUGAUGAUAAGGGCCAAUCUCCUAUGAGGUCUCCUAUUUUCUACCAACAUUUACUAUGAUGCCUGCAACCUCCCCCUUCCUGACCUGCUCCUUAAAUGUCACAAGUUCCGAACUUAGAUGAUAGUCUACUUUGGAAGUAAGUUUGAACUUCAACUCUUUCAUGGUGCUAGGCCAAAAAUAAUUGGGCUGAACAUACUGAUGCUUGAUUUGUGGGGUUCUCAAAGAAAAUAUAAUAUAGUUCAGUUCAGGUUUUGCUUAUCUGUUUUGCUAUAUAUUAUGUUGGUCACAUUGGUAAAUGACUGUGAAUAAUACUGAAUAAUUGGCAAACGUGGAGAAUUAAACUCA